UGAAUAUUUGGGCCCCUCAAGUUCACAGGUUGAGAUCCUAACCCCCAAGGCGAUGGUGUUAGGAGGUGGGGCCUUGGGAGGUACUUAGGUCAGGAGGGCGGAGCCCUCCUGAACAGGAUUCAGGCUCCUAUAAAAGAGGCCCCACCGUGCUCUCUACUCCCUUCUGCCUUGUGAGGUCAUGACAAAAAGACGGCCGUCUACAAAGCAGGCUCUGGAUAUGUUGGUGCCACGAUCUCGGACUUCCCGGCCUCCAGAACCGUGAGAAAUAAACUUCUGUUGCUUGUAAGCCACCCAGUCUAAGGUAUUUGGUUACAGCAGCCUGAACCAGACUAAGACACUCUCAACAACUCCAUGAGGGACGUGGCCUUCAUUUGGAGAAAUCAUUUGCUUUCCUUCUGAGCCUUUUCAAACCGCUGCUUUCAGAGCCCCUGGAAGAGGCCUGGUUUCUCCUGGAAUGAUCACUGAAGUCAGCCUACGUGAGUUAGUUAAAGCUUGGCCGGCUUGCAGUUGUGUCCUGGAGUGGGGAGCCGGGAAGACAGAACACGUUCCUGGUCAGCCAAGAUAGGCUGGGGGGCAUCCCCCACAGCGUUACAGGCUGUCACCGAGCCCUCCAACACCCCCCUUUUUCCUCCAGCAGGUGUCUUCUCCCUCCUUGGCACUGCUUAUUGAUUUCCGCCACGGGAACUGCCACGCGCUGUGUGAUCUUAGACACGCCGCCCAGCUCCUGAGCUGCAGCCACUUCUCCUGUGAUAUGGAGGGGAGCAGACUCGAUUGCCCGAAUCUUCUAACAGUGUAUGAUUGAUUUCAAUGCUGAUGGUGAGGAAACAAGGCCCGAGAAAAUGAAGGGACUCCUAUCCAGAUGGCUCGGUCCGGAGAAGUGCUGAAGGCCUGUAAGGAUGAAUACAUCUGCAAAGAGUAUCCCCCAAACCAUUCCCGUGUAGAAAUCCCAAGAAUAAUUCAAGCCAGUCUUGACAAUUAGCAUGGAACUUGAGUUUGGACAAGAUGAGGCCAGGCCUAAAAGAAAUCGAGUUUCUGGGGAGGAGGAAUCUUAGGCGAUCCUGAAGUUAUAGCCCUUAGCAGUUGGUCUUCAGUGUCAGGGGGCUCACUGCCAGCAUGUGCUGCAUUGGAAGGGAGGCUGGCUAACCUCUUUUCCCUUCCUACUGCCUCUUUUUUGUAAGAUUUUUUUUAUUCCUCUAUAAAGUUAGACAAGAAGAGGGUGGAAGAUCCAUCCAGGAAUUAGGGAUUAGCAUAGAAGGAGUCAGAAUAUUAGAGCUGAAUGGGGACCCGAAGAUCUGGUCUAGAGCUUGCUCUGCAGGUGGUAUCUACAGGCACAGCAUUGGUUGGUGGCAGACCUGGGACUCAAGCCUGUGUCUCUUUACUCAGAAUUUGGCCUUUUCUCAUCACAGCACUCUUCUAAGGAAGGGACACAGAGGACAAGGCAUGUCGACAUCUCACACUUUCCUCCCUCCCUCAGCACCUUUACGUCAUGCCGGGGAGUGCUAAGCCAGGGCUAUAGGGAUGCUGAGGCUCAGAUCUUCAUUUGGGCUGAGAUGAAAGGGCUAGGGGAGAGGGUCCCCCCAGUGGAGAAGGCACCUGCUCCCCAUUGUGGAGAUUCUGGACUCAGAGAGGAUUUAAGAGGACGCAGUGGAGCCCAAUACAGCAGGAAUUCUGCUGAUAUUUGCAGAAAGAGUGUGUGCACUGGCCAGGGGAUGAGGAUGGGAGGAAGUAGAAAGGUAAGAGGAGGCUAGCUAUUGCUACCUGCAGUUUCUUUGCUUGGAAGGUGGAGGAAAUCACGAGAGGCUUGUCACAAUGAACUUUAUCUCUUCACCUGCCCAGGAAGAAAGACCUUGUCAUUAAUAUGGAAACACCAAGAAUCAUCAGGGCUGGAAAUAUAGUUGAGGGUGUGCUCAGAAAGAAGAGGAGAAGGGCCUCUGACCACUGCCAAAUCUUCUGAACUGGAAAACCUUCCCACUGCUGCUGGCAGCAAAAGGAAUGCCCUGCUCUCUUAGCCUCUAGCAGCCAUGGCACUGUGACCACUGCCAUGGCACUUGCCACCCUCUAUCAGAUAGAUCCUCUGUAUCUCCUGACUCCUAUCACUGUCUAGGCAACGGGAGGUGCUCAGCAAAUGCAUUGAAUGAACGAAUGCAUGGAUUGUACACUGUUGAAAUGGGGGGCUGUCAUCAAGUUGGCAGGGAGAGAGAGCAUACGGAAUUGCCAAAGUAAUUAAAAUUAAAAAUUUUAAUAGCCUCUAUAGAGGGCCAGAGCAAUAAGAUUAACUUUACCUAGUGCAAAUGUAACACAAAGUCUACACUUAGUUUCAAAAGGUUGACUGCCCAAAGAAAGAGUGGUUUUUGGGGCGCAGCCCAUAUUUUAAGAAGCCAGCAGGAGGUGGGUCUUGGUGGGCCAUAAGCUCCAUGUGAAUAAGAUGGUGAUAUAGCUGCUAAAAUGGGAUUCGAUUCCAUAAGUAAAAGCUGGGUCCAGGCCAACGCAGGCGACACUCCCUGUAGUUUUGGAGCUCACUCAGGUCACAUCUGGGGUAUAAUGUUCAUUUGGGGUUUUGUUAACAGCUACACCUUAACCGAGGUCUAGUGCUUUGGUUCACAUAGUGUUUUCCCAAGCAUUAUCUCAUUACGCCGUCCUAAUGAGAUGGUUUGUAUACCAGCAAGGGCAAGCUGACUUGCUCAAGGUCACCUAGCUAGUGAGCCCAGCCUUUCCGACCCCUUGUCCGCACUCUUUCUGCUGCAUCACACCGCCUUUAUGCAGGCCAGAGCCCCACUGUGCAGCAUCUAAAAGCAAGACCAGCGUGACGCUCGUCAACUGCUGUCAGCAGUGGACACGCUCAGAUGGGCACCUCGCUAUCAGACAGCCUGACAGCGAUGGCUCAGAAACCACCUUCCCUAACUCAGGAGGGCUUUGACAGGCCAGCUCACACCCGCAGGCGCGGUGACCCUGGACUCUUCAGAACUGGUACCAAACAUCGAACAUCACCCCACCUCUGAGUGGGCCCAGGAAAGGACACAUCUCUGUGUCUAGCUUGCCAGGUCCUGUGGAAAGGACUUGUGAGCUGGACCGCAAAGGAGGAAGAGGAAAGGGAAAAGAUGCCUAUUAAGUGUCUGGCUCAAGACGUUUCACAUAUAUUUCUUUCCUGUUUUUAACGCACUGCCUGUUUCUGCAGCCUCGCUGCUCACCCUGGUCCCUGUUUGACUCCUCUACCCUCUGCUGUUGGGUUGUCAUCAUAAUCCCUCACAUUCAUCUGGUCUCCCCCAUGGGUUAUCUGCUUUCCCGAAAAAAGCCCACGAAGAAAGAAGAAAACCCUGCAUGCUCACUUAAAUGUGGAAUGUGCAGAAGUCAAACGUAUAGAAGCAGCAUUGUUGAACCAUGGUUAACGGGGGCGGGGAGGUGGGGGAAAUGUUGGUCGAAGAGCACAGAGUUGCAGUAAUGCAGGAUGACUAUGGGCAGCAUGAUGGCUCUCCUUAAUAGGACUGUUAAAUACUGGAAAUAUGUUCACAGUAGAACGUAAGUGCUCUCACCACAAAACGGUAACUAUGUGAAGAGAUAUAUUAGUUUGGCCAGUAAUCAUUUCUAGUACAUGUGUGUAUAUCAAAUCAUCAUUUUGGUUAGAAACAAAGAGGGGACGCCUGGCUGGCUCAGCGUUUGAGCAUCUGCCUUUGGCUCAGGGCAUGAUACAGGAGUCCCUGGAUCAGGUCCUACAUGGGGCUCCCUGCAGGCAGCCUGCUUCUCCCUCUGCCUAUGUCUCUGCCAUUCUCUCUGUGUCUCUCAUGAAUAAAUAAAAUAUUUUAAAUAAAUAAAUAAAAAUAAAAACAAAGAAAUGAGUAGGGCAGAGAUUACUUCCUUGUUUCAUAGUGAUGCACAAGAAUGCCCCUCUGUCCUUUGGUCUGUCCAUCCUUCAUUGAUCCUUUCAUUCAUUCUUUAACAAAUAUUUAUUAAUAUUUAUUUAGGAACUGUGCAGUACAUGAGGGAAGCAUCAAGACUUCUGGGAGAGACACAAACGUAUAUGCGAGGAAAGGAGGUAUCAUAUUUGGGGCCUGUAAGUGGGGAGGCCGGGCUUUACCUGAGGGGGCGGUGGGGUGUCAUUGAGGACCGGGACCAGCAGGUGGCACUCUGGGUCCCAGGAGGCCCCCGGAGCUCUUUUCAGCCUUCACGCUUUCAUUUUAUAUUCAUUACUGUACUUAAAAUCAAAUUCUAAGCCGUAUCAUUGAAAGAUUGUGUUCAAUUUGAUUUUAAUUCCAUUUAUUUGAUGUUAAUUGUUCCAUGCUCUUCUAAAAAUGGUCAAAUUAAAUCUAGUUGUGUCAGGGCUUUCUGGGUAAGUGAAAGACUUGCCCAGAAAUUUAGAUUCCUAAAUAAAUUAAUAUGUCCAGUGAUUGGUACUUAGCUCCCGAAGUCCUUUCGUAGGAAAUGCUCAUGAAAAGUUAAUGCUGCUGGGGAAAAUAUCUGGAAGGAUACACUGUAGGAUGUUGCUUGUGCAGUCAGUCUCCCAGGGGUGAGAACACAGACUUCUUAUUUUCUUUUACAUUUGUCCGUACUUCAUUAGUUUUCAACAGUGGGCGUGUAUUAUUAUUAUUAUUUUAGUUUUUCAUCGAAGUAUAAUCUACAAAGAAAAGUGUGCAAAUCUCAACCAAACAGCUUGGAUUGGGACGCCUGGGUGGCUCAGCAGUUGCGGAUCUGCCUUAGGCUCAGGGUGUGAUCCCGGGGUCAGACUCCCUGCGAGGAGCCUGCUUCUUCUCCCUCUGCCUGUGUCUCUGCCUCUUUCUCUGUGUGUCUCUCAUGGAUAAAUAAAUAAAAUCUUUUUA